AUGGCGUCCAAAGCGCUACUCCGAACCGGAGCUUCUCUGAUGAACCGGUUGCUAUCAAAACCAUUGCUCCACUCGAAUUCGAAUCACCAGAUUGUUUCCCACGGCCUCGAAAUCACUCCCAAGUGAUUCCCAUCUCUCUCAAACUUGGAUGCUUCCCUCCGUUUUCCCCAAAUCGACACCGAAUCGAUUACAAAGGUCUUCAAUGAGGGCUUCGUGUACCCUUGUGGCCUACCUUAUCUCCCCCUUAUCUUACCUGAAGGAGAUGAGUCUUCAUCAAAUGAGCCAAUGAUCUUAUUUCCGAAGCGGACAUUCCAGCCUAGUACUAUCAGGCGUAAGAGGAACCAUGGGUUUUUUGCUCGCAAGGCAACCAAGGGUGGACGGAGAGUAAUUGCCCGAAGAAUAGCGAAGGGUCGUGCAAGAAUUACGGCUUAGCAUCUCUUACCCCGGCCUAGUCAUAAUUAAUCUUAAUGAGCGAAAAUCUAGGUUAUAAGCUCAUGUUUAGCA